CCGAGUAUGCCCUUCGGGGCGGAUCUCCAACCCUCUGUAUACUACAAUUGUCUGUUGCUUUGGCGGGCCCGCGCAAGCUGCCGGCUUCGGCUGGUUAGUGCCCGCCAGAGGAAACUAAACCCUAACAAUUUAUGUUUCGUCUGAAAAAAAUAUUAAAUAUUUA
rnacentral:misc_RNA from 1 species